UGGCUUACAAGCUGAGAUGUUUAGUAC
rnacentral:piRNA from 1 species